rnacentral:rRNA from 1 species
UACGUAGGUGGCAAGCGUUAUCCGGAUUUAUUGGGCGUAAAGGGAACGCAGGCGGUCUUUUAAGUCUGAUGUGAAAGCCUUCGGCUUAACCGGAGUAGUGCAUUGGAAACUGGGAGACUUGAGUGCAGAAGAGGAGAGUGGAACUCCAUGUGUAGCGGUGAAAUGCGUAGAUAUAUGGAAGAACACCAGUGGCGAAAGCGGCUCUCUGGACUGUAACUGACGCUGAUGCUCGAAAGUGUGGGUAUCAAACAGG